AGCAUAUCAAUAAGCGGAGGAAAAGAAACCAACAGGGAUUGCCUCAGUAACUGCGAGUGAAGCGGCAAAAGCUCAAAUUUGAAAUCUGUGUCCYUCCGGGCACAGAGUUGUAAUUUUGAGAUACGUUUUCGACCGACAGGCCUGCCUUAAGUCCCUUGGAACAGGGCGUCGCAGAGGGUGAGAAUCCCGUGAACGGUAGGCCUCGAGGCUCAUGAUACGUAUUCAACGAGUCGAGUUGUUUGGGAAUGCAGCUCAAAAUGGGUGGUAAAUUUCAUCUAAAGCUAAAUAUUGGGGAGAGACCGAUAGCGCACAAGUAGAGUGAUCGAAAGAUGAAAAGCACUUUGAAAAGAGAGUUAAAAAGUACGUGAAAUUGUUGAAAGGGAAGCGCUUGAGACCAGACUCAAUCUUUGUUGAUCAACUUCAGUUCUCUGUUGUGCACUCUUCAAUCUUUGGGACAGCAUCGGUUCUUGCGGAGGGACAAAGCCUCGGGAAAUGUGGCACUCUUCGGGGUGUGUUAUAGUCCCUUGGGGAAUGCCUCCAGCAGGGUCCGAGGACCGCGCUCCGGCUAGGAUGCUGUCAAAAUGGUCUUCAGCGACCCGUCUUGAAACACGGACCAAGGAGUCUAACAUCUGUGCGAGUGUUCGGGUGGAAAACCCUUGCGCGUAAUGAAAGUGAACGGAGGUGGGAAUCGUGAGAUGCACCAUCGACCGAUCCUGAAGUAUUCCGAAGGAUUUGAGUAUGAGCAUAGCUGUUGGGACCCGAAAGAUGGUGAACUAUGCCUGAAUAGGGUGAAGCCAGGGGAAACUCUGGUGGAGGCUCGCAG
rnacentral:rRNA from 1 species